ACUUCCUGUGCUGCUGUGGUGUGGGAGUGUGUCCCUAUCAGGGGGUCAUUACAGACUAAUACCCUGUGAUUGCCUGUCCUGUGACUGAAAGCAGACAGAGGCCUUGAACAUCAUAGGGCCUCCGUGGGAUGAUGGUGUCUGUCUCAUGUGGGGCGGAUGAGUGAUCUAACAGACAGGCAGGGCUGGUCUCCCUAACUGACUCCCACAGAGGCAGAUAUGUAGAGACUGUGAUGGAAACCUGGAGCUGCUGAUAAGGGCUGCUGUGGAGGAGGACGGGCGCGUAUGCUGGGGGGCCACACACACACACACACACACACACACACCACCACCUCAUCAAGCGAGUUCCCCACCACCAGUCCAGAACACCCAGAUUGAAUGAGAACCCUAUUGCUCUCAAUGGACAGAUCUUUCUUGAAGAUAACCCACUGAGGGACGAUGUUCACAGUGAAGAUGGUAUCUGAACCUCCAUGUUGGAUCUCCAGGCCUGGGCUGCACUCCAAAUGGUACCCUAUUGCCUACAUAGUGUACUACUUUUGACCAGGGCCCAUAGGGUUCUGGUCAAGAGUAGUGCACUAUGUAAGGAAUGAGUUACCAUUUGGGAUGUAACCCCGGACUCUUUGAUGGGCACAGGUCCAUUAUUCAGGAGAGAGGGAGGGGAGAAAGACUCAGUUACCAUAGUUGGAAGCCUGACUGUUCCUUAGCAGUGAUCUAUGCUCUGGCCCUUACAUGGGGGUUUCCACCAUCACACAGUGUUUGUUUUCAACUGCUGAACGUAGCCUUUAAGAUACAUAUGGGAGUUGUGUUGUAAUAGAACGUUAAAGUCAGUAUAUCUUCAAUGCCUCCUAGUUUGUGGUACUGUGUGACUCAUUACAGAGGCCUGUAGAUUUGGAUCAGGUUUUAGAAUGUAGCCAACUGUCAGUUUAAAAUGUACCAUUCCAUCCUUGUUAUUGUAAGGGUCCAGCGGUUGGAAACGGAACUGCUAUUUAAACCGGGUACGUUUCCUAACACCCAUUCACUCGGCUCCCUCGGCGUCCCUCGGCUCCCUCGGCGUCCCUCGGUGUCCCUCGGCGUCCCUCGGUGUCCCUCGGCGUCCCUCGGUGUCCCUCGGCGUCCCUCGGCGUCCCUCGGCUCCCUCGGCGUCCCUCGUCGUGAGUGUUCAUCUAACACUCAUAUCCUCAUAUUGUACUGCAGGAGAACUAGAGACCCAAACCGAGCCCUAACCUUUCAUUUACUAUGAGCAAUGGGAAAAAUGUAUGUCAACAGAAUGUUUUGUAAAACGCAACCCAGAAAUGCUGCUGUGGUUUUCACUUUUCAGAGACAUCUGGUGGUUGUCUUUCAUAUUGUUUUGGACAGUGAUUCCACUGGGCAAAGACGUCAUAGCAACCCUCCAAUUCGGAUCGAUUUUUUCUAAUUUGAUUGAGAACUAAGAAACUAAAUCAAUCAAAAUCCCUGUGUUGAUGUAUAUUGAACUGGACAGAAAUGGAUAACAAUGAAAGACCACAACACCAAGGUUUCUCUCUCACAUGGACAUUUUCCACUCUGAGAUGUUUAGGAGCAGUGGAAGACAGGAGGUCAAGAGGUCAUCAAAAUACUCCGUAAAAACACAACUGAAAUGGCAGAGUGCCAAACUCCCGGGAACGUGAUCUGGAUCCAAUUCCUGGUCCAAUAAGCUGGACCCGGAAUAGGAGCCAAUAUUCCGCUAAGCUCUUCCCAUUCCCAAACCCCUCCGGAAUACUUCAUAACAUUCCAAGAUUCUUUCCAACAUCCUUCAACAGUGUGCAGGUGUGCUAUUAGUGUGAUACUACAACAAACACAUGUCAGUGGAAAGAAUGUAGCCUAAUGUCUGUUCGCUUACUUAGUUCUGAUCCUAUAGGGUAUGAUGUUAGUCUGCCUUAAGCAUAGUAAAUGAGACAUAUAAGUCUUUCUUCGAAGGGGGAAUUCCAAACUGUGGCGGAGAUCAUUGUAUAUCUGUUCCACUGGAAUGUGUGGAGAUUCUUUCCCUUCAGCUACACCAGAUAAGAGAUCAAAACGCUCAGCUCCAAGUCUGUGGGUUACCAUUUCAUUAAAAACCGCAACCCCAAAUGUUUUUUGGUGGAUUCAUUUUCGCACAUUCAUUGUCUUGGCAGAGAAUCUAGAUUCAAAGCCCAAAUGCUGGGAAAAGCGAUUAAAUACACAGUCAUCUAU